rnacentral:snoRNA from 1 species
CCUGCCCUUAGAGGCAUUGCAGGUAUGACUGCUGUGUCAUAUUGUGUCAGUAGGUGACAGAGAGAAGAGACUACUGUGUUACAUG